UACAGAGGGUGCAAGCGUUGCUCGGAAUCAUUGGGCGUAAAGGGUAGGUAGGUGGUCUCAUUUGUCUGGGGUGAAAGCCUUGGGCUUAACCCAAGAAGUGCCUCAGAAACGGUGAGACUAGAGUCCUGGAGAGGUAAGUGGAAUUCCCGGUGUAGCGGUGAAAAUGCGUAGAGAUCGGGGAGGAACACCAGAGGCGAAGGCGGCUUACUGGACAGGAACUGACACUCAACUACGAAAGCGUGGGGAGCAAACA
rnacentral:rRNA from 1 species